rnacentral:misc_RNA from 1 species
UCACUCUCGUACUUCCGGAGGAAGCUAGUAUGAAGACGUUAAAAAAGAUCCGUGAUGUUAUAGUUGUGAUAUAUUUAUCUCCAUCGUCUAUUAUCAGCUUUGAAAAUGACUGAUAAGCACCAUAUUUCCAGUACAACACUCAGAAUAUUCAAACAGAAUAUUCAUAAAGAGAGAAGAAGAACAUUUUAUAUAAUUCUGCUUUUGGACAUAUGGAUAUACUCAUCUGGAGCAGCUGUGGUUACAGAUUGCCCUGGGGAAGUAGACUUACUAACGCAUGUUAACAUAACAUGCAACUUUGGAAACAAGCCUCUACAAGACAGCUUUCGCAUUAGCUUGAUACGGAGAAUAAAUUCAAGUGAUCAACGAAAGAAUGUCUUAACUUGUCAGUGGCAGGGGACAAAGCACUUUUGUAUCCCCCUGCGUGGAUAUGACUAUUAUACUCCAAUAACAAACAGUGUAGUUCUAGUCAUUAAAAAUGUCAGUUCCGAAAACCUUGGAUCAUACAUUUGUCAGAGGAUUCAGUCUGACGAGAGCGAUACACCUUGUGAAAUCAAGCUGAGAGAUCCAUUUGAUAAUGCAACUCAAGAGAUCCCAGGUAACCAAACAACAGAUCCAUUUGAUAACGCAACUCAAGAGAUCCCAGGUAGCCAAACAGCAGAGAUAGACCUCCGUUAGUUUGAUAUCUUCUCCUUCACAGCUAUCUAAGUGCCAAAGGAGGAGGCUAAAGACUCGCUAAACGUCGGUCUUAUUGUAGGUCUGUGUGUGGGCCUGCCUCUUGUUAUUAUUCCACUAUUUGCAAUAGUGUAUUACUUCAAAAUCAAGAAGCCUGGAAUAUCUAGC